GCACUGCUGAUGAGACCCAACUAGGUCGAAAGAGCUGUCCAGUGC
rnacentral:hammerhead_ribozyme from 1 species